AUUGAACGCUGGCGGCGUGCUUAACACAUGCAAGUCGAUCGGUAACAGGUGUAGCAAUACAUGCUGACGAGAGGCGGACGGGUGAGUAAUGCUUGGGAAUCUGCCUAUUAGUGGGGGACAACCCGGGGAAACUCGGGCUAAUACCGCAUACGCUCUACGGAGGAAAGCCGGGGACCGCAAGGCCUGGCGCUAAUAGAUGAGCCCAAGUCGGAUUAGCUAGUUGGUAGGGUAACGGCCUGCCAAGGCGACAAUCCGUAGCUGGUCUGAGAGGACGACCAGCCACACCGGAACUGAGACACGGUCCGGACUCCUACGGGAGGCAGCAGUGGGGAAUAUUGGACAAUGGGGGCAACCCUGAUCCAGCGACGCCGCGUGGGUGAAGAAGGCCUGCGGGUUGUAAAGCCCUUUGGUGGGGAAGAAAAGUCUCGACCUAAUACGUCGGGACCUUGACGUAACCCACUAAA
rnacentral:rRNA from 1 species